rnacentral:rRNA from 1 species
GACGAACGCUGGCGGCGUGCCUAACACAUGCAGGUCGAACGGGACAGAGAGCUUCGGUUUUCUGUUUAGUGGCGAACGGGUGAGUAACGCGUGAGAAACCUGCCUCUCAGUGGGGGACAACAGUUGGAAACGACUGCUAAUACCGCAUGACACUUCCGGAGGGCAUCCUUUGGAAGUCAAAGCUUUAUGUGCUGAGAGAUGGUCUCGCGUCUGAUUAGCUAGAUGGCGGGGUAACGGCCCACCAUGGCGACGAUCAGUAGCCGGUCUGAGAGGAUGAACGGCCACAUUGGGACUGAGAUACGGCCCAG